GAUGAACGCUGGCGGCGUGCCUAAUACAUGCAAGUCGAGCGAACAGAUAAGGAGCUUGCUCCUUUGACGUUAGCGGCGGACGGGUGAGUAACACGUGGGUAACCUACCUAUAAGACUGGAAUAACUCCGGGAAACCGGGGCUAAUGCCGGAUAACAUUUAGAACCGCAUGGUUCUAAAGUGAAAGAUGGUUUUGCUAUCACUUAUAGAUGGACCCGCGCCGUAUUAGCUAGUUGGUAAGGUAACGGCUUACCAAGGCAACGAUUCGUAGCCGACCUGAGAGGGUGAUCGGCCACACUGGAACUGAGACACGGUCCAGACUCCUACGGGAGGCAGCAGUAGGGAAUCUUCCGCAAUGGGCGAAAGCCUGACGGAGCAACGCCGCGUGAGUGAUGAAGGUCUUCGGAUCGUAAAACUCUGUUAUUAGGGAAGAACAAAUGUGUAAGUAACUGUGCACGUCUUGACGGUACCUAAUCAGAAAGCCACGGCUAACUACGUG
rnacentral:rRNA from 1 species